AAUAAAUUUGUUAGUCUCUAAGGUGCCACAAGUACUCCUUUUCUUUUUAUGAAAAUGGAUAGGAAUCCUUCAAUUGACUUCAGUAACCUUGAGAUCUGGUUCUGGCUGAGGAAGUCACAAAAAGGAUCCCUCUGCUGGUUUGAGUCAACAGGGAGGGCUGUUAGUCAGGAACAUAACAUUGGUACCCAGAAGACAACCACGGAUCCAGUGAUAAGUUGCUGUUUGAGGAGGAAAUUUGCAACCAGUGAGCAGAGUUGAGUUUCAGGCAGUACUUUGGGUCAGGGACUAUCUUUCUGUUGUGUUUCUACAGCAUCUAGCACACUGGGGUCCUGGGUGCCACAGUAAUUCAGAUAAUAAUCAUAAUAUUGAAAGGUCAGAAAAGCACUACCUUAGUAUUCAGGCUGCCAUGAGUCUCUAGGUACUUGGACACCCCCCCAUCCUAGAAUUAUCUGAGAGUCAGAAGGCAGUCCAGGGAAGUGGCCUGGUAAAUACAGCUCAUGAAGGAGCUCUGUCUGCAAGUAAAAUCCCAGUCAAGGUAAUGGAACUUCAGAGGCUCUUUUGCUUUAAAGGACAAUUGCCUUUUAGAAGGGUAGAUUGCUGUUCUGAAUGGAGAAGGCAGUUGUGAAAGUACUAACCUCUAUCUCUUGCUAGCCAACAAGGGCCAUGGCUAACUAUUAGCAAGUAGGUCAAGGAGAACUCUAGCAUUUGGAGGAAGCCACUGGCAAGAUUGGCCCAUGUCUCAAGUGGGUAGCCCUACAGUUGAUUAAGAACACCAUUUUUUCCAUUUGAUCCAUUCAGACUCAAUGAGGGGCUGGCCAGGAGGAAGGAAAAAAUUAAAGUCCACUAAGCCCCAGGAAAUUAGCAAACCAGAAUGAGAAGAUGGAAUUGCAUCAGUUCCUGAGAUACUAUCUGCAUUUGGCUGGAGAAACAACUAGGAGGAAAAUACAACAUCCUUCUACUCCCUCACUUCAGGACUGAAAAUAUCACAUCUGAGAGACUUAAACCAACAACAAAACUUCACACUGACCUUGAGUUGGGUUUGCCCAUAAUGAAGAUGUAGCAGAAGCGGAACAGCUCAGACUCUCUGGGAUGGACUCAGCCCUUAGAAUGCGGCGGUUGUUACAGCAUGGUGGAGUGGGUAACCCAGCCUUCCCACUCCUGGGCUCCAUCAGGAAGUCCUCCAUAAGGUCAUCAUACACAGUGACCUCCCCUUUAACUCCCAGCCCUGGGAACAGACAAAAGCAGCUCAGACUCCCAGAACUGCUACAGCAAGGUAUGGGCAGGGAUAAAACACCCAGAACAUCACCAUGCUGGACCUCUACUCCUGUAGGGUGCUGUUUGAAGGCUUCUCUGGCCCCUCCCAUGCUUUAAACUCUAGGAUUUAGAGGCUGUCCCAUUCUUCACGGGGCAGCAUGUGUCCCUUGGAACCAGUGCUCUGCUGAGCUAUCAGAAGUGACUCCUAGAGAGAUGCGGUAGUCAUGCACUUUUGAAACCUGGGAGUGAGGCAGUCUCCUGUCUUGGAUGGCAGCUCCAAAGGUACCAAUGCUAUCAAGGGAUGGAAAUUCUUUGAGGAGAUGGGCAUUUGGGAGUGGGAGUGUGGGACUUUAAGGAUGGGAGUGUUUGAGUAAUUUCAGUUAUAGCACAUUAUCACUGUGUAUUUGAGUUGCUGUCUGGGAACUGACAGGUCUGUUUAUUUUAGUGCAUUUUCUGAAAGUUUUCAAGGGUUCCCAGGAUGGCUGCUCUUUUAUUACAGCUUGUGUUAACCUAAAUAAAAGACACUAGCCUGCUUCUUUGUCAUCAGGUUCCAACACAGGUCAGAACUAACAGGUGCUUUUCAACUCCAAUUAGAAGUGUGUCCCUCUAUGAUGUUCUCUGUUCUACCUGGGAUUCCAGAAGGGAAACUGUGAGAAAUGCACGAUCAAGACUGCACGCUGAAAACUUAGAUUAUGUACUUUAAUGUACUUUAAUGCUUGCUUUUUGUUAUAUCCAUUUCUUUCCUCUUCUUGAGUCAGGGCAUGUUUGAUGGGGUGACUGAUUUUGUUUAGUUAAUUUCUGCAGGCUUGCUUUGCCUUCAAGUGCUUACACGGAGGAACUGUCUUAACUAUUGCACUUCAGUAUUCACAGUCUCUUCUGGAUGGCUCUGCCUUUUUUUCCCCUUUGCUAUCCACAGUAACUUAUCUUUCAUCUACAACUAUCUUCUACACUGUACACUUCAGACCCUCCUGUGCUUGGCAUGCUCACCUCUCUAAAAAUAUCAUCCAUGAACUUUUUAUUCUUCUUAACGUUGUGUAGCAAGGAAAGUUGGCUCUCAAGAUCAGCAAUCUUGCUUCUAGCUGCUCAGGAAAUAAAUGCACAUACAUACAUUCCCUUGGAUGCCGGCCCCAUAUCUACCAUUCCUCUGAUUCACAGUCCUUCAUACCCUACACAAAAGAAAGAAAUAAUGAAAGAAAUUGGCAGCCAAAUCCCAUUAUUUCUCCCUACUUCUGAAAAGAUUAAUUAUAAGAAAAAGAGAAGUGUCCAUUUUUGACAGUGCAACAGAAGUUAGGUAUUGUGUGGCGUUAUUGCCCCUCUUGCUGUGAUACAUGUAUGAUGUUAGUCUGAGAUGCUUUUAUGAAUUUUGAUUGUUUUUCUUUAAUCUUUUGUUGCGGAGAGAAGAAGAAUAAUGAUCUGGCAUGAACAGGAAUCUCCAUGCCUCUAAGCAAUGACAUUAAGUUACAAUCUUCUAAACCAGCUACAUUUUGUAAUUUUAUGGAAAAAUAAAUAUCCAUCCUUUUCCACGUAUUGCAGCUGUCUUUCCCUGGUUUUUAAAACCAGUCUAAAAUAAGUUAGAAGAAUAGGCCUCUAUUUCUACUCUGUCAUUCAACAGUUAAGGGUAUAAGAAAUUAUAGUCAAUGCUCUUGUUGAAUAGUAGAUAUAUAAUUUAACAAAUGAACUUUCAUUUUAACCCAUUUUAUGUUAAAUACUACCAUAAAACCGUAGAUAUUUAGCAGUAUUACAUUUUUUUAGUGACACUAAGGUUAGUCACUGGAGCUAUUAUAUUCUCAGAUAAAUGAUAAUCACUCUAGUAUUAUUACUGGAAAGACAAACACACAUAAUAAAAUUAGUCAAUUAAAUCUGCAAGUUAAUUUUAUGCAGGAGGAAACAAUGCAUUUUCUGAAGUGCUUCUUUCUUCCAAGGAACUAAGGCCCCAGGUCAGUGGUACCUCAGCAUGGACUUAAAAGUUAAACACAUGCUUAAGUGCUCUCCUGAAUUGAUUCUCUAGUCUCCAGUAAUGUUGUCAAUAGUGAAGCAGGCAAUGCUAGAUCACUUCAUUCACUUAUUUGCAAGAAAUGAAAAAGCACCGCUCAGAAGUGGCUUUCAAAAAGUCAGAUAUAAAACCAUUUCUUGGGUUUCUAAGUGUGCCACAAAACCUUGUCAGCUGCCUUUUUUGUUGCUUUUGAGGAAAAGUAACUUACCAUUAAGAAGAAUUUAUGGUACUAGCUGACUUCUGAAAAAUCAACUCAGCCAGAUAUUGCUCUGGACAAAUAGAAAUCAAUAAGAAUUAAAAAUGUUAAUAGAAUAUUUCUCACAGGCAGGCCAAUGGAGCUGAUUGUAGCACUUUGUUUAGCACGCAUCAAAAAAUUGGAAGCCAGGAUGAUAAUGAGCUGAGCCCUAUUCAUUUCUUCCAUUUUCUCAUUGAACCAACCAUCAUUUGUCCAAAUUCAGUUUGGUCAUCAGUAUAAAUACUCAGCCAAGAAACACAGAAAACAUUUCAAUAGACAUCCGAAACUGAGUCUAGGCCAGCGUUUCCUAGGGAAAGGUGAUUAAACUUGUAGAGCAUCUCACGUCUCCUGUUGUAAUUUUAUAUAAAAUUUCAGAUGUAUUGUAUGGAGGUACAAAUCUGAGCGCUUCCAACUGCUGAAAACACAGCCAUCUUCACUGUUGCAACUAACCCUGCUUGAAGACAAUUACAAUUACAGCUUGCAAGAUGAAGUAUUCUCAUCUCUCAUGACAUAUUACUAUUGAACAAGACCAACACUUCAGAUCUCCAGCAGUGUUUAUUAUCAAAGCAAUGACCUAAGAUUUCAAACUACCAUAGUAUCUGAGCACCUGACACCCAUAAUGGAUUUUAUCCUCCAAACACUCAUGUGAGGUAGGGAGGGUAUUAUCCCCAUUUCACAGAUGGGAAACUGAAGCACAGGGGAGGAUGAAGGGGCUUGUCCCAGGUCACACAGGAAGUUUUGUGACAACCCAAGUCUCUCAAGUCCCAGUCCAGAACUCACUAGAUCAUCCUUCCUGAUCCACUGAGAAACACCAUAGUUAACACACGUUAAUAGAGGAGUUGUACUUCCAUUGUUAUUUGGUUAUUUAUGUUUAAUAAAAUACAUUUCAAA